AAAAAAAUUGUAUGAAUAUGCUUUACUUCAUAUUUUUCACUUUAUCGUAGGAAUGUCAAUAGGUACGGAUACGAUUUUAAGAAUAUAGACAUUAAAAAAAAAAACCGAUGGAUAUGAAUUCGAAUAUGGGUCUUGACUGUAUCCAAUCCGAUCCGACCCAAAUUUAUUUUACAUUAUAUAUAAUAUGUGUAUAAAAAUUUGAUGUUAUAUUUGAAUUUGUACUUUAAAAAUUUAGAUUUAAUGUAAUAUAUUUUGAAAUAUUGAAAAGAGAGAUCAUUGUUCCGAGUUCGGAUUUUUGGGUUCGGAUUCGAAUUUCAGAUUUUUUAUCGGGUUCGAAUUUGGAUAUAGAUUUUUAAAAUCCGUCGGAUUUGGAAUUGAAUUUUGAUUUUGGGUUUGGAGGCAAGUUCGGAGUUGAAUUUUUAAAAAUCUGCCCCGAAUCCAACCCGUUGACAUCCUA
rnacentral:lncRNA from 1 species